AUAAUUUCUGAAGGCAACAGAAAAAGAUAUAAGUGAAAGCAAAUUAUUGAAUUUUUCACUAUCAAGCAAUUUAAAACUGAAUUGCCCUUUAGCUGCCGGACUUUUAAAUUACAUAUAGACCUUGCUUGGACAUAAGGAGAAGGUAUUCUAAAUUCAAGUAUCAUUAUGGUUGGUCAGACUGAAAAGGUAGCUUGUGCUCUCCAUUUGUGGGGUCGUUUGAGACAAAAAUUAGUUAUAUCAGAAUGGGUCACUUAUUUUUUGAUGCCUCCAAUUUCAAUCUGGAAUAUAGACUUCUGACUCCAGAGGGAGGCAAAGGUGUUGAUCUUUUCUUUUAUCUGCAGGACCAUACAAAGGAAGACACAUGCUGUAUACAUAAUAUGUCUCUCCACAGGUUCCUUGCUCAAAAUGGAUUAGUGUGGGAACAAGGAUACCACAGUUCACCUUUCUUCUCAGCCCAUGAACUGUCAAGCCACAGGUGAAAGAAGGAUCAUCCCAAGAUAGUUCUGCUUUCUGAGCAUCAGGGUUUAACUCCAGCUGGCAACAAAGUACCACGCAGCUGAUUGCUCACUCCCUACCCUGGUGGAAUGGGGAGAAGAAUUGGAAAAAAGUAAAAACUCAUGGGUUGAGUUUUUACAGAUAAAACUGCCAUUCAGCAAUCUGAGGCCCAAGCCCCUUGAGAAAGUUUGAAACAAGGAAGACUUACCCUCAUGGACGAUGAUCAAACUAGGAAACAUUUAAACAAACUGGACAUACACUAGUCCACAGGCACUGAUGGGAUAUAUCCAUGAGUGCUGAGCGAGCUGGCUGAUGUCAUUGUGAGGUCGUUCCUGAUCAUCUUUAAAAGAUCAUGAUGAUUCAGGAAGAUAUUGGAGGACCAGAAGAAAGCAUAUGUCACUCCUCUCUUCAGGAAAGGCAAGAAGGAGGAUUUGGGUAAUGACAGGCUGUUUAGCCUCAGCUCAGUCCCUGGGACUGAUGGAGUAAAUUUUUCUGAAAACCAUAGCCAGACACCUCAAGGACAAGAACAUGAUCAGGAGUAGUCAGCACAGAUUGUUACAAAGAGAAAAUCAUGCCUGACCAACCUAACAGCCUUCUACAGUGAACUGACUAGUUUGGAGAAUAAAAGGAUAAUAGUGGAUUUUGUUUAUUUUCUCUCUGGCAAGGUUUUCAACACUCUCUCCCAUAACAUCCUCACAAACUAAUGAAGUAUGGGCCAGAUAAGUAGACAGUGAGGUGGAUUGAAAACUGACUGAAUGGCUGGUCUCAAAGGGUUGUGACCAGCAAUACAAAGUCUAGAUAGAGAACACUCUGUAGUGUAGUGUACCCCAAAUGUCAAUACUGGGACCAGUGUUGAUUCACAUCUUCAUUAAUAGCCUGGACAAUGGGCCAGAGUGUGCACACAAGAAGUUUACAGGUGAUACAAAACUGGGAGGAGUGGUUGAUGCACCAGAAGUUUGUGCUGACAUUUGGAGAGAGCUGCAUGGGCUGGAGAAAUGGGCCAAGUGGAAUCUCAAGAAUUUCAGCAAAAGGAAAUGUUAAGUCCUGCCCCAGAGGAGUAAUUACCUCUUGCACCAGUAUGAGCUGGGGGCUGAGUGCCUGGAAAGCACCUUGAACAGAGCAGGCCCUCGGGGUCCUGGUGAACAGCAAGCUGACCAUGAGCCUGCGGUGUAUCCUCACAGCCAAGAAGAUCAACAGACUCCUUGACUGCAUUAGGAAGAGCAUUGCCAGCACAUUGAGGGAGGUGAUCCUGCCACUCUAUUGAGCAUGGGUGACUGUAGUGGGUUUCUGUGGCUGGUGUUUUGUA